rnacentral:rRNA from 1 species
AGUGAACGCUGGCGGUAGGCCUAACACAUGCAAGUCGAACGGCAGCACAGGAGAGCUUGCUCUCUGGGUGGCGAGUGGCGGACGGGUGAGGAAUACAUCGGAAUCUACUCUGUCGUGGGGGAUAACGUAGGGAAACUUACGCUAAUACCGCAUACGACCUACGGGUGAAAGCAGGGGACCUUCGGGCCUUGCGCGAUUGAAUGAGCCGAUGUCGGAUUAGCUAGUUGGCGGGGUAAAGGCCCACCAAGGCGACGAUCCGUAGCUGGUCUGAGAGGAGGAUAAGCCACACUGGAACUGAGACACGGUCCAGACUCCUACGGGAGGCAGCAGUGGGGAAUAUUGGACAAUGGGCGCAAGCCUGAUCCAGCCAUACCGCGUGGGUGAAGAAGGCCUUCGGGUUGUAAGCCCUUUUGUUGGGAAAGAAAUCCAGCUGGCUAAUACCCGGUUGGGAUGACGGUACCCAAAGAAUAAGCACCGGCUAACUUCGUGCCAGCCGCCGCCGUAA